AGCGAACGCUGGCGGCAGGCUUAACACAUGCAAGUCGAGCGGGUGUAGCAAUACAUCAGCGGCAGACGGGUGAGUAACGCGUGGGAACGUACCUUUUAGUUCGGAACAACACAGGGAAACUUGUGCUAAUACCGGAUAAGCCCUUACGGGGAAAGAUUUACCGCCGAAAGAUCGGCCCGCGUCGGAUUAGCUAGUUGGUAGGGUAACGGCCUACAAAGGCGACGAUCAGUAGCUGGUCUGGGAGGAUGAUCAGCCACAUUGGGACUGAGACACGGCCCAAACUCCUACGGGAGGCAGCAGUGGGGAAUAUUAGACAAUGGGGGCAACCCUGAUCCAGCCAUGCCGCGUGAGUGAUGAAGGCCCUAGGGUUGUAAAGCUCUUUUGUGCGGGAAGAUAAUGACGGUACCGCAAGAAUAAGCCCCGGCUAACUUCGUGCCAGCCGCCGCAGUAAUAC
rnacentral:rRNA from 1 species